rnacentral:rRNA from 1 species
CUCCAGACUCCUACGGGAGGCAGCAGUGAGGAAUAUUGGUCAAUGGGCGGGAGCCUGAACCAGCCAAGUCGCGUGAGGGAAGACGGUCCUAUGGAUUGUAAACCUCUUUAGGCGGGGAGCAAUGCCGGGCACGCGUGCCCGGAGGGAGAGUACCCGCAGAAUAAGCAUCGGCUAACUCCGUGCCAGCAGCCGCGGUAAUACGGGGGGUGCAAGCGUUGUCCGGAAUCAUUGGGCGUAAAGAGUUCGUAGGCGGCACGUAAAGUCUGGUGUUAAAGGCAGAGGCUCAACUUCUGUACGGCACUGGAUACUUGCGAGCUAGAAUGCGGUAGAGGUAAAGGGAAUUCCUGGUGUAGCGGUGAAAUGCUUAGAUAUCAGGAGGAACAUCGGUGGCGUAAGCGCUUUACUGGGCCGUAAUUGACGCUGAGGAACGAAAGCCAGGGUAGCAAAUGGGAUUAGAUACCCCCGUAUCC